rnacentral:tRNA from 1 species
GUACUAGUAGUUCAGAAGUCAGAACGCCGGUCUUGUAAGCCGGAUGUCGAGGGUUAAAACCCCCCCUAGUGCU